UGUCUUUCUUGCUUUUAAAAAGAAAAUAACCUUACUCUUAGUUAGAGUUAUAUUGCUAUGAUGUUAAUAGUGCCCAAAGCCAGUUGCAGGAUAAAGUGGGUUCACGUUUCCACAUCCUAGUCCAUCACUGAAGGAAAUUGGGGCAGGAACCUCAGACCACAGGUUCAUUCCGAGGCCAUGAAGGAGGGCUUGCUCCUCACGGCUUGCUCAGCCUGCUUUCUAAUAGAAUCCAGGACCAUCAGCAGCAUCAGCUCAUCGAUGGCACUGUGCACAGUGGGCUCUCACCCCGCCCCCCAUUGCUGCUUUAAUAAAAAGCCCUGCGCCUUGCCUACAGCCAUUUCUUAGGGAGAGAUUUUCUCAAUUGAGGUUCCCUUUUCUCAGAUGACUAUAGCUUAUGUUGACGUAAAACUUGCCAGCACACCAACCAUGGCCAAUUUAUGCUGCACAUAUACUCAUGGGUGACAGGACUUCCAUUGGAACACAGUCAAGCCUGCCAGGAACCACAUUCUUUGAGCUCUCUUCCCCCAGAACCAUCAACUGUCAGUAGUUCCUCAGCCUUGGAAUGUUGAUCAGCUUGCUUUCAUGGUCGCUAGAGUUUAUGAAUACAAUGGCCCUGUCCCAUCCAGAAGACACUGUUUUGCUCCAUACACCCCACCCCACCCCACCUCCUGUUCUUAGCUCUCUGCUCUGUCUUCAGCGCUGGUAGCUAUAUCUGUAAGUCUUCUAGAGUUUCCCUGUCUAAUCAGUGGCCCAGUCAUCCCAAAGUUGCUUUAUUUCCUAGGUGGAAGGCUGGGUUUGGGGUGAGAGGUUGUGUUCUAACCUCUAAUCCCAGGCUCUAAUCUGCCCUCUUUACAGCUUCCUAAAGCUUAUGGACGCCAUUGCUGAGCCCUGCCCUCACCUUCCCCACCCCAGUCCUGUCUCACAGUGACUGGGACAGAUCUGUCAUGGACAUAAUGUCUUCAUCUUGUUAGCCACUUUCCAAUGAAAGAGACAUGAAGUCAACCCAAGCUUCUUCAGAACAUGUCCUAGGACCCCCCCCCCCCCUCCCAGAGUCCACCUAACUGGAGGCCAGGGACAUUUUGGACCAGGUAAUUGGCCAUGCCCUGUGUGUGGUUAAGAGGAUAUAGAAUUUCUGGCUACUUCCGAGUCUUCACAGCUCAUUGCCCUGGGUCGUGCAAGGUUCAUCCUCAGUUGAAAAUGGCUGCCCGUUCUCUUUCUGGUCACAUUAGCAUGUUGAAAACCAGUUUUUCUCGGAUCUAUGAAAUCUUUCCUAUUACGUGACACCCCACCCCCCACCCCUUUAAGUUAGGAAGAAGCAAGUAGCCACAUUACUCCAUCUGCAUUCUUCUGUUAGAGGCUUACCCUGCACAGCCACCACCUCUUCCUGCCACUCUUUCUCUCCUGUCUGGGACAGCUGGGGACAACUAGCCAGCACCCUCCCUGCAGCCAUCUGACAUUUAAAGAGCAUUCCUGAUUUGGCUUAGAGCCUACCCUUUCCCAGGGCUUAAAAAGAGAAAAUCCCUUCCCCGAAUUGGUUCUUUCUCCUGACCCGGCCGGUCUCCUCCUCAUCCUUUCCCGACUGGUUCUAUCUUCCUCUCCCCCGCUUGUGCUGUCUGCCUCAUGCUCCGUGCCCUCUGUUGCAGCUCCUCCCUCUUUAUGGGCGGAGCAUGUCUGGCUCUGUUCCAGAAGGUGCCCCUACUCAAGCUAAAAGAGUGCACAGUCCAUCCCCCUUCAUCUUGAAGGGCCGACAGGCGCCUGGUCCAAAGACUCCCAGCUAAUUGGUCACAGGACAAGGGGGAAGGCUUCUCCUUCAUCUUUGGCCUCUCCUGGGUGGAAGCCAUCUUUCCUUGGUGCUCUGUGCUUAAGUGACCCCUGAGAAUGGACGGACAGGGGCAUUUCAGACAUCCUGUAGCUGUCUGGGGACCACAAGCAGAUGGCGAAGCUGAUACUCCUUUUGUUUCCUCAGAAGACAGUUCUCCAGCCACAGGCUUUGAGUCAAAUCUCUUUUUAUCACACAUCCCAGCAGCAAAGUCCUGCCCACACACCAGCCAAAAGAGAACCCUUGGUGUUAAAAUUCUUUAGGGGACUUUUAGAUCCAGAUCUUCAUUAGGCUUCAAUACCACGGUGGCAUUAGCCUUCCUUUUUAUACAACCAUAUAUUAUUGAAGUCACACGAUGGUCAGUUUUACAAACCAGGUACCUGUAAUUUGUAUAAUUUUGUAUGUGCUCUGGCGUACCACGCCUGUCCUAAGGAAGGGUAGAAUACCUGUUGGUGUCCUCAGCUGUGACAUUAGGAGGAUGCUUGAAUUGCUGGCUUCUAUGUUGAUGUUUCUGUGGCUAAGCCCUGCACGUGUCAUUUCUGAAAAGCCUUAAACCUUGGAGAAGCCGCGUCGCAGGGUGCCGGUGUGGCAGGCUGCCUGGGAACCGUGAGCCCUUUUGUAAGCUGGAAGCGUUUCUCUGACUACGGUUACUCUUCAUAGUUUUCAGUUCACCGCUGCCAAAGCCUCCCAGUAAAGCAGUGCCUUAGUAAUACCUUGUAGCCGCCAGCCUUUACUCAGCCUGUUCUGGGUGUCCACUUGCUAAUUGGCCCCGUAUCAGAAGCAGGACAAGCCAAAAUCGUUCCCAUUUGUUUUUUCAAAAACGCCCGUUUUUUAAAUCCAGCUCUAUAGGAAGCGGAUGACUUGGUUUCAAACAACCUGAAUCAGAACCCAAGCCCGCCCUUUGACCUUGCUCUCACGUACACAUCCAUACCAAAACUAAAGGCGGCAGCUCGCUCCGCAGCUCACCCUGAAGAGCAUUGUCCUUUUCAUCGAUGCCUUUUUCAGUCCAUGACCAAAUACUUAGCUAUUUGCGAAUCUUCUGCACUCCAGCUUGAAAGUGCCUUUGGCUCGAGAUUCCAGCUUAGAAAGUGCCACCAUGAUAACGACAAUUUGUAGAGAGACCAAAAAUAUUUCGAGAUCACCAUAAUGCCUUUGGUUAACCGGGAUGGAUAACCAACUGCAGGCUUGUAUUCAUGAGAGCGCCGUGUGGUCCCUGCCUGCUGUGAGUCCCUGCCGUGUGGUCCCUGCCUGCUAGCGGGGAACCCUGCCACCACUGUCCUAUACAGCACAGCGUGGCAGCCGGGAGCCCUGCGAACUGUUGUGUCUGUGUGUGCCACCUCUCCCCGGCUUGUCCACCAACUCAUCGCCCAGCUCUGCAUCCCUGGGAAGGAAUCUGCGCACAAGCACCCGAAUCCCGGCCAGUGGGCGAACACCAUGGCUCUGCCUUCCCCCUGUGUCCAUGUCCAGACUGUGGAGACUCCCGUCCACCUGAAGGACAGUGCGCACUUGCCUGCCUACACGUUUGGUUGUUGGAAGCCUCGAAUUGAGAUGACAGUGCAGAACAAAAAUUAAAAAUGGGUUCAUUGCGUCAUUGCAGUGUCUUUGGGCAGUUUUGCUGGCUCCGGAUGUCCGAAUGUGCUGUGAGAGACUUUGGAAGAGCACACCAUUUGCAACUCGGCAUUUUCAAGGAUGUUCUAGUCCUCAGCCAACUCUGUGAAGUGUGUGUCAGCUUAGAGUAAAACCUUUCUGCACCUGGAAACCCCAUACAGUAAGGAAAAAGAACAAAGGAGGCAAAAAGAAGCCAGGAAAAAAAAAUAGGUGUUUUGUUUUUUUUCUUCCUUUGCUGAUCUAAGUUUAAAAGUAAUGACAGACAACUUUGAAAGUUAGCCUCAAAACUCUACCCCAUACUUUCUCUCGGUCUCUUCUGGUGUCUGAGGAAUAGCCACUCUGGGCCCUGAAGCUGCCCAAGUGGUUUGUAUCCACCCCAAGUUGUGAGUAUGUAUAAAAGUCCAGUUUUGGGUUUUUGUUGUUGUUGUUUUUGUUUGUUUGUUUUAAAGAAAAACAACUAUCAAAUGAAAAGGACAAUUUCUCAGCACAGGUUAGAGUUAGUAGUUUGCUGUCUUGUACUCCUCCCUGGCAGGGACACACCACAACUUGAAGAACUUAGUCAAAUGCGUGUUCUCUUGUGCCUCUUUCUAGCCAUUGCUGUCUUGUUUGCGGUAGUUUUCUCUCCUCAACUCUUCGCUUAUAUCUUUUAAAAAUGAAGGUUCUGUGUUUUAAAUUUACUGUGUUGCAAAGGGUAGGCCUCACUGAAGUCAUGCACCAUUAACUAAGAUGAGAUAUUUGUAUUUAUUGUUCCUUCCUAAGCCGUAAGUUGUUUUCUCUGUGAAUCUGCAUUGGGUCCUGUGCCCCACACUACAUCAUUUUAGAUAAAAGCAGCAUUUGUGUGUGUCUCCCGCCCUCAUUCAUUCACGGCCAUGGGGUCAGGUCCCACUAGACUCCAGCUUUGCUCAGUCUGACCCUCGUCGUUUUUACCACGGGCAUUCUCUCUCUUCUCUCUCUAAGAGAGGCAGGCAGAACCCACACAUCCAUCAUGUUAGAAAACCUGUCUGAGUUUUGUGUUUUUAUUUUUCAAAUUAAUUGUUUUCUGUGAUUAGUUUCAAUGUGUAAAGUAGAUUAUUAACUGCACUUCUUUAAAAAAAAAAAAAAAAAGGAUGUACGUCUCCCGUUACCUCCUUGGAAGAUCAACUUCUCUAGACCUUUUUCAGUGGGCUUAUGACUUCAGACAAGGAAAAAAAACAGUAAAAACAAAAAAAGUACGUGCCUGAAAAAUGACAAAAAAAAAAAAUUCUUUUUGUAACAUUUAAAAAACCUGAAAAGCCUUUACUUCUUUGAUACGCUCAAAUUUUAUGUAAAUUGGUUUUUGCCACGUGUGUGUUUCUUCAUAUUCUAAGUGACUUCAUGGCUUCUCUGUUGUCUCUCGUGUAAAGUGUAUAGGAUGGGCUUGUGGCAUAAGCAUUUCAUCUGGUCAGUGGCUCUUUUGAUGCUGUACUGCUGCUGGGACUGGGCCAGAGCCUGAACCUUUGGGUGACUGGGUUCCUCUUGGGGGAGAUUGGAGAGAAGAGGGUGAGGUGGCUCAUCCAGGGUUUCUUAAACUGUUCGCAGAAACUUCAAAAGGCAUCGGCUAAACCUCCCAGCAGUACAGUAUUCUUGUAUUCGUUAACGUUUGUGUUUAGGUACUGGUACCUUUUUGUUUAAGAAAAUGUUCUAAGUGUUGGCUUUAAAGUGAAUUUAUCUUUAGUAUGAUAGUUAUAUGAAAAUUAUAGGGUUUGUGUGCAGAGAAUUUUUUUAUAAAGUGCUUUUGUAAAAAAAACAAAACAAAACAAUGUAUUCUAGCUUUGGCGGUACAUAUGUGUGAUAACUUUAAUACCCAUGACAGUUUAAGUGCAAUUAUUUCAUCGCUCUAAAAAUGCUAUUUUUGUGUCAGUUCCUGCAGGUGUUUUCAUGUCUUUGCAAAGUGACACAUUUUGAUGCCUUCUUGAUAAAGUGGUAGACAUUUUGUAGCUUUCUAGAAACUUUGUAUCCAUACGGUAUCAAUGAAAAAAUAAAGAAAAUAAAAGUGUGGGUCACCUUUCUUAUCUGC
rnacentral:lncRNA from 1 species